CCUAGUUGAUCCUGCCAGUAGCAUAUGCAUGACUAAAAGAUGAUAAGCCAUGCACGUGUAAAGUAGACAUGGCAGGUACAGUGAAACUGCAAAUUGCCCAUCAAAUAAUGUAUGGUUCCUUUGAUGGAUCCAUCUGUCACUUGGAUAACUGUGGUAAUUCUAGAGCUAAUACAUGCUGAGAAGUGCUGACCUCCCGGGAUGCGGGCAUUCAUCAGACCAAGACAAAUCCAGGCUUGCCCAGCCUCUUUAGUGACUCUACAUGACCUUGGGCCGAUCACAUGUCCCUGUUAAAUGACGAUACAUUUUAAUGUCCGCCCUAACAACUUUUGAUGAUACUUUCUGUGCUUACCAUGGUGACCAUGGGUAAGGACAAUCAGGUCUUGAUUCUGGAGAAGCAGCCUGAUAAACGGCUAGCACAUUCAAGGAAGGCAGUAGGCGUGGAAAUUACCCACUCCCUUCUCAGGGAGGUAGUGAUGCAAAUUAACCAUACAAGACUCUUUUGAGGUCCAGUUAUUGGAAUGAGAGCACUUAAUUUCAAUUAACGAGGAUCCAUUGGAGGGCAAGCCUAGUGCCAGCAGCUGCGGUAAUUCCAGCUCUAAUAGUGAAUGCUAAAUUUGCUGAAUUUAAAGCACAUAGUUGUAUCUUGGUAUUGAUCUGGCGGUCUGCUAUGAGCUACCGCCUGUCCCACCCCCAGACUCUCAGCGCCCCCUUGAUGCACUUGACUGAGUGUCCUCUGGGUCCAAAGUGUUCACUAAAGUGUUCAAAGCAGACUGGUCACCUGAAUACUUCAGCUAGGUAUAAUGGAAUCGCACUCUGGUUCUAUUCCUGAAUUAGGGCCAUGAUUGAGAGGGACAGCCAGGGACAUUCAAGUGAAAUUCUUGGACCGGAGCAUGAUGAACCAAAGCAAACAUAUUUGCCAAGAAUGUUUCAUUAACCAAGAAUGAAAUUCAGAGGUUCGAAGACGAUUGGAUACCGUCGUAGUUCUGUCCGUUAUUGAUCUCUACUAGUGAUCCGUCAGGGUUGUUGCCAUGAAACACCAAGCAGGUUCUGGGAAACCAAAACAUUUUGAAUUACAGGAUGCGAGGGAUAUGGUUGCAAAGCUGCAACUUAAAGGAGUUGAUUGAAGGACACCACCGGGGGUGGGACCUGUGACUUAAUUUGACUCAACAAGGGUAACCUCACCUGACCCGGACACGGAAAGAUUCACAGAUGGAUAGAUCUUUCUCAAUUCUAACGGUGGUGCUGCAUGGCAAUUCUUCGUUAAUGGAGUGAUUUGACUGGUUAUUUCUGAUAAGACACAAGACUCUUCCAUGCUAACUAGUUGCGCAAACCCCAGCGGUUGGUGUUCAACUUCGUAGAGGGAUAAGUGAUGUUCAACCCCACAAUAUCGAGUGAUAAAAGGACUGUGAUACCCUUGAUAUGAUAUGAUAGGUUUUUUAUAACACACUUAGUACCCAGAGGUUUCUAAACACGUACCUAGGGAUGGAGCCUGUGUUGCUCUGUGUCGUCUUGCUAUCAAUGCGAGCAUGUUGCCCCUGUGCUAUCCUCCAGAGACAUCGGGGCUGGACAUGCUCUACACUGAAAGGAUAAGAGUAUCUCAACCCAUGGGUCACCUGCUGAACCCCGUUCGGCAUAGGGAUUGGGGAUUGCAAUUCUUUCCCAUGAACGAGGAAUCCCCAGUAAGUUCGGGUCAGAAGCUUGCAUUGAUUAGUCCCUACCCUUUGAACACACUGCCCGUCACUAGAACCAAUUGGAUGGUUUAGAGAGAUCCUUGGAUCGGCCCCACCUGGGUCUGCAAUAGCCCUGGUGGAGUGCCAAGAAGAUGAUAAAACUUGUCUAUCUUGAGGAAGUAAGAAUCACACCAAGGUUUCCGUAGGUGAACCUGCAGAAG
rnacentral:rRNA from 1 species